GAUGAAGAACGUAGCGAAAUGCGAUAAGUAAUGUGAAUUGCAGAAUUCAGUGAAUCAUCGAAUCUUUGAACGCACAUUGCGCCCGCCAGUAUUCUGGCGGGCAUGCCUGUCUGAGCGUCAUUUCAACCCUCAUGCCCCUAGGGCGUGGUGUUGGGGAUCGGCCAAAGCCCGCGAGGGACGGCCGGCCCCUAAAUCUAGUGGCGGACCCGUCGUGGCCUCCUCUGCGAAGUAGUGAUAUUCCGCAUCGGAGAGCGAUGAGCCCCUGCCGUUAAACCCCCAACUUUGCAAGGUUGACCUCAGAUCAGGUAGGAAUACCCGCUGAACUUAAGCAUAUCAAUAAGCGGAGGA
rnacentral:misc_RNA from 1 species